rnacentral:rRNA from 1 species
AUUGAACGCUGGCGGCAGGCCUAACACAUGCAAGUCGAGCGACCGGCGGACGGGUAAGUAAUGUAUGGCGACUGCCCGAUAGAGGGGGAUUACUACUGGAAACGGUAGCUAAUACCGCAUCCUAUUGGAUAACCCAUAUGGGAUUAGCUAGUAGGUGAGGUAAUGGCUAACCUAGGGAACGAGCCCUAGUUGGUCUGAGAGGAUGAUCAGCCAAACUGGGACUGAGACACGGCCCAGACUCCAAGGGAGGCAGCAGUGGGGAAUAUUGCACAAUGGGCGAAAGCCUGAUGCAGCCAUGCCGCGUGUAUGAAGAAGGCCCUAGGGUUGUAAAGUACUUUAAGUCGGGAGGCGUUACCGACAGAAGAAGCACCGGCUAACUCCGUGCCAGCAGCCGCGGUAAUUC